GAGGGAGGUUUUAGGCAAAUAAAGCUAGCUUAGCAGGAAAAAAUUUUGUUUAAUGCAAAUUUCAUUAAUUUUUUUUGGUGGUGGUGGUAUAGAGGACCCUUAGAUUUUCACAUUGGUGCUAUGGGCUCAAUUUAAAAAAAGUCACCUGCUGUACUAAAAAGCUCUUUGUAUUCAUAAACAACAAGCUGCCUUCUAGGAUCCCACCAAGGUCUGCAAAACAGGCGCAGUGUUUUAAGAAACUUACCAUAUUAAUGCUUUACAAUAGUGGGAGUGGGGUUUCCUGAUAGGACAGAUUCAAUCUCACAUACAGUAGCUUUCCAAUAAAUAUACUUGACUUGAUCAAGAUUUUUUGUUCUGAUGGUUAGUCUAUUAUGGAUACAAUUUGUACAUUUCUUUAGUCACUAUUUGCUUAAUGGCUUUCUGGGUUUUACAACAAAAGGAGCUAGUGCUGACGUAGGAGGGUUUUAUCUUUGGAUUAAUAGGCAGCCGAAUGUACAUGUGGCCCAGACUCUUGCUUGGUGCCACGUCCUCCCUCCUGCCUGUAAUUGGAAGCCCUUGUAAACCCUCCCUUGCAGCGAGAGCUGAAAACUCCCGAUCUGCCUUUGUUCCAUGACAAAGGAGAGAUUAUCACGUGCCCCACUGGACUGUGCAUUUCCUGGCUGGAAAAAUCGGUGGUGAAUGAUGCCACUCAGAUGUUGGGACACUGGGGGAACCUUGGUUGUUGGCCACAGCACUGAGCUAGUGACCAGGCACUGAGCCUGCUGCUGGUGAAAUUUAACACCCAUCUUUCUGUGUCUUUGUGUGUGUGUGUGUGUGUGUGUGUGUGUGAAGUCAUUCUGACUUAAUGGUGUUUUGACUGAAGUCAUUCUGUCUUAAAAGCAAGGAUUCAUUUUUUUCCCCAAUUUAAAAUAAAUACCGUGAUGAUUUAGAGGUGGGUUAAAAUUUCAAGAAUUCAAAGGUAUAGAUAAGAUACCAAAUGUCCUCUUAAGUUAAAGACUAAGAUACUCAAAUAAGAUAACCAGAGUCCCCCUCAAGAAAUGGGUUUAUGAAAAUUACCUACAGAUUAGGAUGGAUAGUGACCCAAUUAAUUUUAGUACCAUAAAUCUCAAUUAUAAUAUUUUAAAGGCCAAUUUUUAAAAGCAACUUUAAAAUGUCCCCUGCAACUUUAAAAUGUUCCCCUUUCUAGGGAAAUAGAGGAAACAUUUUUGUAAUGCCAGGAAAACCAUACAAUUUCAGAAACGGGAUUAGCUAAUUUGGUCUUUUAUUUCUUUGUACAGAAUUGAAAAUGGUGACACUUUUGGCUUUGACAAUAAAAGUUCUAAUAGUUAUUAAAGAACUUUUGUUAUUCUUUCUGCUGCAUUUUCUCUAGGCAUCUAUUUUAGUUCAUUUUGAAACUAAAGAGAAUAAUCUUGGUGGAACUGAGCAAGAAUUCAGAAUGUAAUGGUGUGGGUAAGAGAACAGUGGCAGGAGGUGUGGCUCAGUGGUAAAGCACAGGUUUAGCAUGCCAUGUGAGGCUGUGUGCUCCAUUUCUAGCACCAUUAAAAAAAAAAAAUCACC
rnacentral:lncRNA from 1 species